UGAUUUUAUUUUUGGACCAAAAUGGCAAUAAAACUGAAACCACAGAGACCCAGAUGCAAAAGGUUUGAGUUUAAGUUUUAGACUAAAGUGGUAAAAGUGACCAAACCUCGGGGACCAUUUUGGUAGUUUACUCAAAAUAAAGUGUUAAUGUGUCAUGUGACAACAGCAUAUAACAAUACCAAAUCGAAUAACACAAUGUGACAACACUCACAAACCCUUCAUUUCUUUGGCUUUUAUAGUAACAUUCAAUCCACCUCAAACAUGAAUACAAACUGCAAUUUCAAUUCACUACCAAGGAGUGAUCUUUAUUUUUUCACACUAGUUCACCCCCUAAACACCACAACACAAACACUUGCAACCAAUGCAUAGACAUCAAGCAUUAAUAUAGAACAACAAUCAUUGUUUGAUUGAAGGCUCUCUUCUUUCACAAUCAUCAAAUACUUUGAUGUGAUGAGUGACACACUUCAUGAUCAAAUUCAAACCUUGAUCCAUAGGUUCAAAAAAGAAUUUCUAUCAAAGAAAACCAAGUCCCCAAUACACCAAGAAUCACACCCAAAACAAUCAUCCCCAAAUCCCACAUAAGUUCUUCCCUCUUCAACUCAUCCUUAAACGCGAUGUAAUGAAACAAAGCCGGUAACACCAACCCCAACACGCAACAAGUACUACUCCCAACAAGCGAUAAAAAAUCCGUGAAAUUCGGCACGAAAAGCGCCACCAAACUAACCACCAUAACCAACACCCAUCUCAUCCA
rnacentral:lncRNA from 1 species